rnacentral:lncRNA from 1 species
UAAGUAUUGAACAAAAGUUAAAAGAUCAGUUUAGACAAGAAUGGUUUGCAAAUGUAAAUCAAUCAUCAAAAGGUUUAUGUUAUAAAUUAUUCAAAACAGAACUUAAAUUUGAAAAUUAUAUUACAGUUUUAUCGUUAAAAAAUGCACUGAAACUAUGUAAAUUUAGAUGUGGCAAUCACCGUUUGCCAGUGGAGACGGGGAGGUGGCAAAAUGUUCAAAGACAAGAGAGGCUAUGUCACCUUUGUGAAUCUGCUGACAUCGGCGAUGAAUUCCAUUAUGUAAUGUCUUGUCCUUUUUUCAAAAAAGAACGAUAUAAAUAUUUACCACACUAUUGUUGUACAAAUGUUAAUAUUCUUAAAUUUAAAAAUGUAUUCACUACAGUCAAUAUUGUCUUGCUAGAAAAAUUGUGUAGAUUUAUUAACUAUAUAUCAGUGGAAGUCUGUCCUCCUGGUUAAACUACAUUUAUUUAUGUAUAUUUCACACAUGCAAAAUAUGUUGUAUUGUAUAUAUUAUCAUCUCUGUAACUAUGUUAUUUAGUUAAUGAGAAUAAAGAUCUAUCUA